rnacentral:rRNA from 1 species
GAAAGGNCAAGAGAGACAAGGNCCUCCUUAAACCUAAGCGCCUUCUAGCCCAACAGAUGACACUCUCUCAAUCUGAUACGCUAUAACCACACCGCCCCUAGACCAGGGCUC